CUGUAAGAUAAGAGAGUUUUGAGACUGCGUCCUUAACACGGCGUGUGCUCGACUCUUACUCUUUAUCCACACACACCUUUGUGCACCAUGGGAGACCGUAAGUGUCUCCCCUUUUUGACAUAAACACUUAAGUUAUAUGCAUGUCUUAUAUACUCUACGGAGUUAAAUGUAA
rnacentral:misc_RNA from 1 species